UUGGUGUUAAUCAAUGUUUCAUUUGCUUUUCACCGUUUUCCCAUUGCUAAUAUAUGGCUGUAAAAAGUUGAUACCUUUUCUCCAUCUUUUGUUUCUCUGUCUCUCUUAACUAUGCUUAAAAUAAGAACAAGACAAGUGGUUUGUUUUGUCAGCAUAGAACAUAUGACUAGGUUCAUGUCCUGCAAAGAAAGAGAAAAUAUCGAAAGAGUUUAGCUUUAAACGGUUGAUGCCUUUUCCCUUUUGGCAUGAUCAAAUGUUGAUGUAAAAAGCACACAACACACUUUGUGUUGAGGUAGCUAAUUUCUGUUUUACUGAUAUAGUUAAUUUGGUCACUGUUGUUUGUAAUGGAAGCAAAACUUGUGAGAUCUAAGGAGCAGUUUUCAUGCUGGUAUUAUAAAUUUAGCAUUUGAUGAAGAUAAUUGUGAAAAGGUGAAUUGUCAGUGUUCAUUCUGGUUUAAUGAUGUCAGAUUGAGGAGAAGUCUCAUGGGAUGCCUUAAAGAGAAAAGUGGAACAAAUAGCUGAGGAGGCUGAAUCACUAAGAGCCAGUUUGGAUAAAUGUAGCUAAUGAGAGAGUAGAACUGUUGGGACGAGCUGGAAGCAGUACAUGUAUGAAGCAAUCAAAUCUGAUGACAUUGCUACUCUUGUAUACACAAGUGGAACUACUGGAAAUCCAAAGGAUGUUAUGCUAACGCA